rnacentral:lncRNA from 1 species
GUGGAACUGUUUGUACUAAAAAUAACACUAACCUCCCUUUUCUUCAGUACAGGAUGUGCAUGUGAUCUUGUUGAGGCCAGGGAAAUAUGAGAAGCAGUUUCCUGGGAAUGUUGGACUUGAUUUCUUUGGUCAUGACAGAGCUUCAGGAAGAGCUCUGAAAAGUACGAUUGCCACAGCUACCUUACCUUCAUCAGGAUGUGGAAGCCACCACACAUGAAGGAAGGGUCAAGGGCACUGCAGGAAGAAGCCGUUCCUUGGGAGACUGAGAGUGGAGUCCAGUGGGUCGCCCUCUUGCGCUGCUGGAAAGAGGACUGCGCACGCUUUUGAACACCAACAGUCCUACAGGGCGGUGGAACAAACCCGCACGACAAAGACGUUAGGAAAGAGAGGUAAGGAGGGGGUGGCACCCUGAGCACACGACCUCUCUGGUCUUAGUUUCCCCUUUGUAAA